GCUUACGGCGCAUACCACCCUGAACACGCCGAUCUCGUCCGAUCUCGGAAGCUAAGCAGGGUCGGGCCUGGUUAGUACUUGAUGGGAGACGCCUGGAAUACCAGGUGCUGUAAGCU
rnacentral:rRNA from 1 species